rnacentral:tRNA from 1 species
AGCCUUAUAUUCAAAAAUGAUAUUAAAUUGCAAAUUUAAUGGUGAAUAUAUUCUAAGGCUU